GAUGAAGAACGUAGCAAAAUGCGAUAAGUAAUGUGAAUUGCAGAAUUCAGUGAAUCAUCGAAUCUUUGAACGCACAUUGCGCCCGCUGGUAUUCCGGCGGACAUGCCUGUUCGAGCGUCAUUUCAACCCUCAAGCCCCCGGGUUUGGUGUUGGGGAUCGGCUCUGCCCUUCUGGGCGGUGCCGCCCCCGAAAUACAUUGGCGGUCUCGCUGCAGCCUCCAUUGCGUAGUAGCUAACACCUCGCAACUGGAACGCGGCGCGGCCAUGCCGUAAAACCCCAACUUCUGAAUGUUGACCUCGGAUCAGGUAGGAAUACCCGCUGAACUUAAGCAUAUCAAUAAGCGGAGGA
rnacentral:misc_RNA from 1 species